rnacentral:lncRNA from 1 species
CCCAACAACUACAACUUACAGUGUAAUCCAAUUCAGAAUCUGAUACUUUUAGUUGAGGCCAUUUUGAAUGUUCGUUUACGCUCAAAUUUGAAAGUCAAGCUCAGUUAAAAUCAACAAGAAGAACGUGAUCUUAAUUUUUCAGUUUUGAAUCAUUUUUUGUUGCCGAAAGGUCUACAAACUAAAAUCUUUAUCAUACUGUUGUUGUAUUCCAUCCUCACUUUUAAAGUGUCAGAAUGACACGAAACUUUAAAUCUAGCAUCAGAAAAAUAAUUCCGAUAUAUUCUCAAAUUUUUAUAAUUUUCUUACACUGUGAAUUUUCUGCUAACAAAAAACUACAUUUCUUACAGAAAAUUUUAAAUCUCUUGUUUUCAUUCCAAUUUUACCAUGAAUUAUUUGUAAAUUGUCUUUUACUUUUCUAGGUCCAAUAAAAAUAGUAUCUCACGCACAAGAUAAAUUUUUCUCUUACAAAAUUUUCUAUACUACAUAGAAUAUUCCUUAUCCUUUCGCUUUUUUUCUUAUCAUUCCGAUGCAUGCAUCCUAUCCAACUUUUUCUAUUUAUAGCAAUAUUGUUUAACAUCAAACACAUGGUGCAUGAAACAAAAAUUUUCAUAGUACAUAGAAUAUUCCUUGUCUUUUUGCUUUCUUUCUUAUCAUUAGAAUGUAUGCAUCCUCCCCAACUUUUUCUAUAUAUAGCAAUGCCGUUUAGCAUCAAACACAGGGUGCAUGAAUGUUUAGUUUUGUCUCUACCUAUUUGUCUUUCAACAUCAACCAUGAUAUAGAAUAUUCUCCAACAUGCUAUAUGUAUACACUUCAAAUAAAGAAGAUUGUUA